UAGGGAAUUUUGCGCAAUGGGCGAAAGCCUGACGCAGCAACGCCGCGUGAGGGAUGAAGGUUUUCGGAUUGUAAACCUCUGUUGAGUGGGAAGAAACGUGUCGGAGUUAAUAGCUUCGAUGCCUGACGGUACCACUCGAGGAAGCCCCGGCUAACUACGUGCCAGCAGCCGCGGUAAUACGUAGGGGGCUAGCGUUGUUCGGAAUCACUGGGCGUAAAGGGAGUGUAGGCGGAGAUUCAAGUCAGGAGUGUAAUCUACGGGCUUAACCCGUAGUUUGCUUCUGAUACUGUUUCUCUUGAGUAGUGGAGGGGGAGACGGAAUUCCAGGUGUAGCGGUGGAAUGCGUAGAUAUCUGGAAGAACACCAGUAGCGAAGGCGGUCUCCUGGCCACAUACUGACGCUGAGGCUCGAAAGCGUGGGGAGCAAACA
rnacentral:rRNA from 1 species